rnacentral:rRNA from 1 species
CCUACGGGUGGCAGCAGUGAGGAAUAUUGGUCAAUGGGCGUAAGCCUGAACCAGCCAAGUCGCGUGAGGGAUGAAGGAUCUAUGGAUUGUAAACUCCUUUUAUAAGGGAAUAAAGUGUGGGACGUGUCCUAUUUUGUAUGUACCUUAUGAAUAAGGAUCGGCUAACUCCGUGCCAGCAGCCGCGGUAAUACGGCGGAUCCGAGCGUUAUCCGGAUUUAUUGGGUUUAAAGGGUGCGUAGAUGGCCUUGUAAGUCAGUGGUGAAAGUCUGCGGCUCAACCAUAGAAUUGCCAUUGAAACUGGGAGGCUUGAGUAUGGUUGAGGCAGGCGGAAUUCGUGGUGUAGCGGUGAAAUGCUUAGAUAUCACGCAGAACUCCGAUUGCGAAGGCAGCCUGCCAAGCCAACACUGACGCUGAUGCACGAAAGCGUGGGUAUCAAACAGGAUUAGAUACCCGUGUAGUC